rnacentral:lncRNA from 1 species
CCAUAGCUGCCGACACCACCACCACAUUAAACAAACCCGUCGGCACCACCACAGCCUACUCAUCGACAACUAAUCAGUUACUUCCCGAAAUCGCCACAACUCCACAACCUUCAACCAUCGCCGCGCUGCCAUUUCCUUGCCUUCCACAGUCGCCCAAACUAACCCAACCCAAUAUCCACCCCCAUCCCCACCUAACAUCCAACCAAACACAAUCCAAAGCCACCAAUCGCCACCACAAAACCCAUAGUCGACUCGAUGGACAGUUAUCCAUCUAUCUCAAAUUAAUCAAUUCAAUUCUACAAGAAAUUAUUGGUGGAAAAUCCCACCACCACCACCAUCUCUACCACGACUGCAACAUAGAAAAUUCGGUCGAGUACUGACCAAUAUGAUGCACUUUCCUUAUUUGAAACCCUCCAAGCAAAUCAAGCUAUUGCUAUAUCCGGGAUGCACCUUACCUUCCUUGAAACCAAAUGGCACUGUCCCUAUGUUUGGUGUAGAGAGUCUCCUUUGUGAAUCCAUGGCUCUUAGCUUGGAUCUUGCUAAGAGAUCACAAAAUUGGUUGGAAAAUGAAUUUUAUGGACGAGAAAACAGAAACCAUGUACACCAUGGGAGAAGUGAAAUAGGUAAGGAUCGCUCAAGUAGAUCUUUUGAAUUCCCGUAACUUUUGGGUUCAAUUUAGUGGAGGCGGUGUUGAAGUUUAGAAGAAAUGGAGGUGGAAGGUGAUGGUUCGAUUUAGUGGAGGUGGUUUUGGUUUUUGUGUGGCUGUGGGUUUGGUGGUGGCUGUCGGCGACUUUGGAUUAUGGUUUGGCU